rnacentral:rRNA from 1 species
AUACGUAGGGGGCAAGCGUUAUCCGGAUUUACUGGGUGUAAAGGGAGCGCAGACGGCUAUGUAAGUCUGAAGUGAAAGCCCGCGGCUCAACCGCGGGACUGCUUUGGAAACUAUGUAGCUUGAGUGUCGGAGAGGUAAGCGGAAUUCCAAGUGUAGCGGUGAGAUGCGUAGAUAUUUGGAAGAACACCGGUGGCGAAGGCGGCUUACUGGACGAUAACUGACGUUGAGGCUCGAAGGCGUGGGGAGCAAACAGGAUUAGAUCCCCUGGUAGUCCACGCGGUAAACGAUGAAUACUAGGUGUCGGUGCCCAAAGGGUAUCGGUGCCGUCGCAAACGCAGUAAGUAUUCCACCUGGGGAGUACGUUCGCAAGAAUGAAACUCAAAUGAAUUGACGGGG